UUUUAAUGUGGUAUUUUAAUAGUUAAUUCCUCACAUUUUGCUUAGUUAAUUCCUUAACGAAUCGAUUUUUAACUUAAUUUCUAUUUUUUUAGGUACAUUGGAGUAGAUGAUGAUGAAAUGAGCAUUAGGUCCAUAAUUACCUAUAAAUGAUGGAGAAAAAUGGAAAUGUACUAAAAGUCAAUUUUACACAUUUUCCUACUCCGGCUAGGAGAAACCAAGCCAAGCAAGGAAGAAGGAGCGGCCGCCUGACCAACUGAACUCGAAAUGAGCUGAAACUUUCCAGAUCCAUUCUAGACAUCCUAAGGAUCGUUUCUUAUGAAGAGUGCCAGAGCUAGAAUUGAGUGGAAGGCCUUCAAACAGUCAGCCCAAUUUCCUGCAGAAGCAAAACUGGAAAACUGGACCCGUAAGGAGUCCAGCAGAGAUUCUGGCCCAAAGGCAUGGAAAUAAAUUCUGAAAUUUUACCAAAAUGAUCUACACUCAUGGUAGAUCAUUUCAUAUGAAGAAGUCAAGAGCCAAAACUGAAUUCCUGUUGGAGAAAUAAUUGAAGGAAUAAAGGGGCAGAAACUGACCUAAAACCAGCUCAAUAUUCACAUGUUCAUGUUUCCUACCCACAUGAAGAAAGCUAGAUGCUUUUCUCUUUUUCCUUGGAUAUAUUUUUCUGCUCCAAUAGAUCAUCAUCACUUCCAUACUUCUGCACCUUCAUGCCUUGCUUUCAUUUCAUCAUUACUCCAUCUUUUCCAUAUUUUACAAACCACUUUCAUUAUUUUUCUUCCAUUUAUCAUUUCACUCUUCUUUUUCUUCCCUAUAUAAACACCUUCUCCUCUCACUCUAAAUACAUUCCUUCAUCCAUUUCAUCUUCUUUGUCUCUCCAUUUCCAUUCCAUUUUUCUCUCCAUUCUCUAGUUGCAAAAUUCUGCGUUUUCAAGUAAGAAGAAGAAGAAGAAGAAGGAGCCGGGAAUAUCAUAUCCUCCAUCGUCCACCUUGAAGGCUUGCUUCCAAGAUUCAAGAUUUCAACGUUUCAAGCACUCCAUCUCCAUCUCCAACUCACGGUGUGUACCCUCAAUCCCCGGAAUAGAACGAUCCCUAUUUGCUUAUACUACUAACGAUGUUUUCAGGGUUAAAUUAUGCGCUUGCUUUUAGCGUAUCAAAAACCCUGAGGCCCACGAGCCUCCGCCGAUGCAGCGCCUAGCCCCGAGCUCCACGUGCCCACACCCUCGCUCAGACAGCACCAAGCCACGCCGCCGCUGGAUCUGGAACGCGUUAUCCCUGCACGGAAAGCCACUGCAAAACGGUCUGAAAAAACCAUCCAAAUCUGCCUUCACCCAGCCUGCCAAACCCCCAGCCAGCCAACUUCCUCCGGACCUCAUCCCAGAGUGUCGAAGUACCCGUCCGGCAACCAGCACAGUGGUAACGCAGCGAUGCCGACGCUAACCAUGGCCGCCGCCGGACAGGGAAGGAUUUAGUGGUGGUAGAGGUACUCUCGCGACUCUAAAGCGAAGAGAGAGACUAGGGUUUAGGUAUUAUUCAAAACAUAUGUUUGAACCGGAUGGAGUGAAAUAAUAGAGAGAUUAUUUUUUAUAUGUCGAACUAACAUUUUGAUC